rnacentral:rRNA from 1 species
AUUGAACGCUGGCGGCAGGCUUAACACCUGCAAGUCGAGCGAGCGGCGGACGGGUGAGUACUGUCUGGGCAACUGCCUGAUGGAGGGGGCUAACUACUGGAAAAGGUCUCUAGUACCGCCUCACAUCAGAUGUGCCCCGAUGGGAUUAGCGCGUAGGUGGUGUAAUGGCUCACCUAGGCGACGAUCCCGAGCUGGGCUGAGAGGCUGACAAGCCACACUGGAACUGAGACACGGUCCAGACUCCUACGGUAGGCAGCAGUGGGGAAUAUUGCACAAUGGGCGCAAGCCUGAUGCAGCCAUGCCGCGUGUGUGAAGAAGGCCUUCGGGUUGUAAAGCACUUUCAGCGAGGAGGCGUUACUCGCAGAAGAAGCACCGGCUAACUCCGUGCCAGCAGCCGCGGUAAUUC